GGCGUGGUAGCCAAGUUGGUAAGGCAGUGGUCUGCAAAACCAUUAUGCGCCGGUUCAAAUCCGGCCCACGCCU
rnacentral:tRNA from 1 species